rnacentral:rRNA from 1 species
CAGUCGCCGCGGUAAUACGUAGGUCCCGAGCGUUGUCCGGAUUUAUUGGGCGUAAAGCGAGCGCAGGCGGUUAGAUAAGUCUGAAGUUAAAGGCUGUGGCUUAACCAUAGUACGCUUUGGAAACUGUUUAACUUGAGUGCAAGAGGGGAGAGUGGAAUUCCAUGUGUAGCGGUGAAAUGCGUAGAUAUAUGGAGGAACACCGGUGGCGAAAGCGGCUCUCUGGCUUGUAACUGACGCUGAGGCUCGAAAGCGUGGGGAGUAAACAGGAUUAGAUACCCCCGUAGUCCCUGUCUCUUAUACA